UCUAUAACUUUCCAUAGAAACAUUUCUAUGCUGUAGGUAAACGAAAAUCCUGUUUCUUUUCAAAGUUUGCUGAUAAAGGCCUUCGUUCCAUCCCGAGUUUGACGAGACCUCUUUCAACAAUAUCAAAGAACGUAUUCAAAGAUGCAGACUUGAGUCAUCUUAGAAUCCGGCUUACAAAAUAUACUAAGGUUUUCCUUUCCCAUUACUUUAUCCCUGUUUUCUGUAAGCAUCCUGAGUGGAAUCUUGUGUUGUUAUCCUAUUCAAUUUUUGAUUGUGUGGUUCAUUGUAUUCAGAUUUUAUAUACACUUGUUAAUUGAUGUAUAGUUAGUGGUCUAUCUUGUACUUACCUGGGGGCCCUCUGAUGGCACUCCUUAUAUGGAACAGAUAUCAUAUAUGUGGUAGUGAGAUGGGUGACAAAUAAACACGACAUUUGUGGUUUUAUGCAGCGGUUAUUAGACCAGUUGUACUUUAUGGAACUGACUGUUGUGCAACUAAAAGAUAAUUUUCACGAGUAUUAGAGUCUGUUUCCGGAUAAUUAGUUUAUUACCUUGUAUAGGCUAGCUAUCACACAAAAUCGGGAUUAAUUCCCAUUGUAUAUUUUCCUUAUAUAGCUUUGUACCAUCCUAUAAAUUAAAAGGCAAUACACAAUAGAGAGGAUUCAGCAAAAUCUGUCAAUGAGAUGAAUGAAAUACAAAUGAUGAUGUGAGAAGGAUGUGUGGCUAUAUUAGAAUAAAUAAAAAAAGAAAUAAUGGUAUGGUCCAACAAAGGAGGUAGGGCUAAUUGAAAACAAAGUAAAUAAGUAAUGGAAUAACGACUUAGAUGGUUGGGCAUGUUUAUGUUUAGUAUAAGCCUAAAUAAGUCUUCAUUUACAAAAGUAAUUCAGUUUGUGUAGAAUGUGCUAGAAGAGGGAGCCAUAGACCAAAAUUAACUCGGACUAAUAUGAAAGAUUUGAUAUCAUUGAGCCUUAGACCAAAAUUAACUUGAACUAAUAUGAAAGAUUUGAUUUUAUUAGACCUCUUAUAAGAUGCAUUGCUGGAUCAAAUAGUGACAAAAUGAUUCGCGUAUUGACACAAGGUAGUUGGAAAUAAGACCUCUUCUAGCUUCCUGAUGUCCUUUUACUCAUUUCUCUUCUGUAAGCUGCCUUUAUACAAUUCUGGGGACCUUAAUGUUGAUCUCUUCUCGUUGGUGUCUUGGAGAUACUAUGGAGUAAGCUUAUCAAGACCUGUUUUGCAACCGGCUUUAGGAAUAUGCUCAUGCAAGAUUCUUUCUCCCAAAUCAGUGGCAUUUGAAAGCCAAAGGGUUGAUAGAUUCUUGUGGAGUUUUAAAGAGUGGUGUUCAUGUCAUUUAUUUCUUGGAGAUGCUUUUUUCAGGAACGGGUGAUUGAUUUUUGACCUUUCUGAAUUAGAAUAGUUUCCUGAAAUGUUUGCUCUCAUAACAUGAUCUCCCUGUGAUAUGGUUUGGUUAGUGGAUCUUAAUCUUACUAGUCCGUGUUGUCAAUUGUGAGGAACGUAUUCACCAUGGGACAUUCAUGAAUACUUCAAUCUCCUAGUGAUAUUGUUUGAUGGCUGACUCCAAAUGCAUGCAGUGAAGUUAGGCUAGUAUUUUAGUUUCUCACAAAUUUCCUCAAGGUCCACCGUGGAAUUUGUAAUGCACAUGCUUUAUGUUUUACAGGUCAUUUUAGUCCAUGAAGCACAAGGUUAUAUAGCUUAGGUGGUUUGGUCUGCUUAAAACGGGAUUUUAGCCUUGGGAGACAUCAAUUGAACAUGAAUUCUAUCUACUUCCAGUUAUGUUUGUUGUGUUUAAUGCGCUUUUUUGGGGGGGGCGGGGGGGAGGGGUUGAAACUUGCAUUGUUUAGGACAAUGGAUGCCGCUGUAUGAAGUUUUGGAUUAAAUAGUUCGUUUCACUUUAAGAGAGCAGUUAUCUGACUCUAAUUGAAUUUCCUGAACCACUAGAAUAGUGUAGUAACAUGUUCAUAUUUCCAUUACUUGCUAGAAGUUUAUGGACAGAAUGGUGUCAGCUUAAUCAUUUUUUGGGUGUUUGCUAUUGAUUUGAAGGAAAUUUGGUUAAAGACGCUUGUUUAAGAAAGUACGUCUUUGUUGUACUCACAAAUUAGCCUGGAACUUAGCAUUCAUAAGUUACACUGAUAAUUAAAAGAGAGAAAUACUCACUGAUGCAUUUGAUGUGUGCAUUUUUCAUGUAAUGCACAAAUUGAUCACAAGUGUUAAAAAUUUAAUGUAAAUGCAUAGAGCCAGCACAUUCAAGUAGUCUUGCAGUGCUAAAUUAGAUAAAAAAUAUCCGUAUUGAUUUUCUGAAAUUUUACUUUUUGAAGCACGUGCUUCUAAACUAUUCUUCCCCAUUAAUUUGUGCAGAGAGUGGAUCUUUCCAGCUGCCCACAGUUCACACCAUCACUUGUUCUCCUGUCGAUGCUUCCUUUUUCAUGCUAUGCAGGUCACAUGCUAGAAAAGAGCAUUAAGGAAUCUUUAAUUAACCGUGUGCGUCUAAAAGAGGACGCCUUUCACGUAUCACAAGCAUUGGGGCUAAUGUUGACUUUUAUUGAAGUAGAAGAGGUGGAUAUUUCAAAUUGUCCAAUGCUACAUCUUGAGGCUGCCAUUGAGUGCUUCUGCAAGUUCCCAUCAUUAAGAAAAUUAAAGGCAGCUUACUCUUUAGACUUCAAAACAAAGAUGAUGUGUCAAUUGGUACAAAAGUGCCCACUACUCUCUGACAUUGACCUAACUGUGGAUGUUACUCCUGUUAUACCUGGACGCGUGUCAAUUGUAUCUUCCUGGCCGGCCUUGCCACAAAGAUCUACAACAUAUUUCAACCUUGAUAAUUGUUAUUCUGCUGCCUCUUUUUCAUAUAUGUCGAGGCCAUUCCUCUCAAAUAUCACGAAACUCACGUUGGAAGGCCGAACCGACAUCAGAGGUAACUCUUUUUUUGAGGGGGGGGGGGGGGGGACAGGGAGAGAGAGAGAGAGAGAGAGAGAGAGAGUGUGUGUUCCCUCCACACUGCAGUCCCACCCCAAAGAACAAUGAACCAUGAUGCAUAUUUGUAUGUAUACAUAUAGGUGUAUCCUAGUCUCCUUUGCAUCCGAUGUCAUUAUUUUCACCUUUUUGGAAAUUCUUUUGGUUGCUUAAAAAUUAAGACAUUCAAUUUCAAUACAUAAAAGAAUUGGAUCUUAAGAGAUUCUCAUGCAAAGGGUGCCAGCUAGGAUUAUUUUGCUUUGAUCAAGAGUGUGUGUACCUACUACCCACCAUUCAUUGAACAUUAACUAGGUAGAUGGUCGUAGAUGUGGCUUGCUGCAUAUUUUUAGGUUGGAAAUCAUCUGUUACCGAACUGUUGAUGUAAGGGAAGAAGUCUGUUUGCUGUUUUCUUUCAUCUAUGCACUUCAAUGUGUAGCAUGUCCUCCACAGGUGUAAAUCAACAAAAUGAAAGAGAAAAAUGCAUAGACAAUAUAACAAGGAUGCGUCUUGUAAGUUCUUUCAGAAUAUCAAACAUAGGAGAUUGCAUUGCUAAAAAGCUCGUUUUCAAAUAGCAAAGAUAACUAAUGCUACUAUGGCAAUUGUAGUUGUGGAAAAAAGAAGCAAGUGGUGUUAUGGAAAUAUGUUAAUAUACGAAAGGUCAUACAGAAUUUUAACAUGGUAAAGAUUGGGCCUUCUUUGAUUAUAUAAGCUAAAACAAUAUUUAAAAAAUGUUUUGAGGCUGCACCUGGAGUCCUGCCUAACAUGAGGCUCUCUUUAAAAGCAUCAAAGCUCAUGCCUUGACUUAGUGAGGCUUACGCCUUAAGAAAAGCACCAUGCAACUUCAUAGUUGAAAACCUUUCAGAUGGCAGGAUCAAAGCCAAUCUUACAAGCAUACCAAUGGACAUAUAAUCCCUUUGCUGCUAACUUCCAAGCUAAUUCCACUAAUUCCUUUCGUUUCGAAAAACUCCUCAUCCAACAAAAGCAAAUUUAGUUCUCAAAUUGAUUAUCAAGUGCUAAGAGAUCCACUAUAGAACAGGCUGACGGAUAAAACUUAACCAAAUAAAACUGUUCGUCGAAAGAGUAAAAUCAAUUGUUUGGACUUGAGUAAGCUACAAAAAUAAGUAACUCCAUAUUCACCAUUGUAAAAUGAUUAUCAAGUUCUUGAAGUUGCAUCUCCACAAUCUGUUGAAUGUUUCUACAGGAUAACGGUUUAAAUUUUUGGUUUGUGCUAUAUAUCGUGCCUUAGGCUUUAAAGAUAUGAUCCAUGUUGGGAAUAGGAUGCUCUAUUUCUUCUUAUUAUCUGCAAUCUUUAUUGGCAUAUUUUAAGUAAUAGCAUUUAUGUAUCUUGAUCUUUUGCUAGCAAGAGCUUUUACAACUCAUUAUUACGCCUUAUUUUUAUCAGUAUAUGGGGGCUUCUAUGCGUUUCUUUUAAUUGGCCGGCCUUGUAAAAUUGAACUAUUUUUUGUUGGUUCAACAGAUUCUGAUCUCCAUGACAUCUCAGAGUUCUGUGCUUCCUUGUGCUACCUUAACCUUAACGGGUGUACUUCAUUGACGGACAAUGGUUUAUCAGUAAUAAUUCUGAAAUGUAAAAAACUACACUCAGUUUUGGUGUGUGAUACUUCUUUUGGGAAUAAUUCAAUUCUGGCACUUUGCUAUGGGAUUUCUGUUGCGGAAUCCAAAAGAGGAAACUACUCUCACACGACGGCUUCGAAGUGUCAAACCCUGCAUAUUGGUGGCUGCAAUGGUGAGCAACAUUUCCUUUGUCCACUCUCACCCUCUUUUAUUUUCAGUAUUCCAGGAAAGUAAAGAGAAAUUCAAUUUUCAAAAGUUUUUUAUGUCAGUAUGUGUCAGAAGUUUUUCUGAUGGAAAUGUGUUUUUUUUAUAAAGUCUUUCAUAAUAUCAGAGUGAGCAUGAUUUUAUAUUUGGUUCACUUGAGUAUUUUUGAGACUUUUUCCUCAUUUGAGUAUAAUCUCAAUUGAUGUGUCUGCCAGUAUCUUUGAUGGUAUACACAAUCAAAUAUGUAUAGCUAACAGCUGGAAUACAUUAUAGUACACACGCAUCAAAUAUGUUUAACUUAAUCUUGUGAAUGUCAUAUAUACAAUUUAUUCUCAACACUAUCCACUUCUUCCCUUCUUUGGCAGGGAUAAAUGAAACAGCUUUGUCAGAGCUUCUCUCUGGAGCAAAUAAUUUGACGAGUCUGUGUUUGCGGGAGAUUCAACUUGAUGACAAUGCUCUUUAUUGUUUUUCAGGAUCCUCCUUGGAGAUGCUUGAUAUUUCUGAUACAAAGGUGCAGAGGCAGUCUAAAGGGAAAUUUUGUUUGUUUCUAGAAAGGAUUCCUCUAAAACCAUUCACUUUUUAUCAUGGAAUUCAUAUAAAUCACUUUACCUAAGAUCUCUUAUGAAUGCGGCAACUGGAAACUUGAACUGAACAUUGCAUAUAGAGUUUGAACUUCUGUUUUCACAACCUGCUUUCACCCGUCAAACCUAAGUCUGAAUAUCUGAAAAUCUUUAAAGCUUUUUGGGCUAGGCUAACUGAAAAACUGGGCUGCUAGAUCUUGUUUUUUGGAAGUUGACAGUUAACCUUUCAAAAGAUAUGUAUAUUUGUCAGAUACAUAAUUUUUCUGCAUGAGUUGCAAGAACUUCACGGUGGUUCAUUAGUUUCAUAUCAAUACCCAUCUGGAAUUGCAUGCAUCUGUCAAUUUCUUGAUGCCAUCUCUUUUAAGAGAGUACCCGUGUGUAAAUUGAGUCCUGAACUCGAGACUCGAAGCUUCGUGGGUUAGACUAUUUUUAUUUCCCACUUGCACGGUCUUGCAAGGAUAAGUUACGAAGGUUGUGCACUUGGCUUAAUCCCCAUGUUCAGGAAUUAGUUAUUAGCAAUGCAUGACAGACCUCUAUUAUACUUCGAUUGGGAUGUGAUAGCACGACGGAUGCAUAUGCUUGGUGGUGUCUUGCUCUAUUUCUUCAUCAAGUUUAAAAGAAAGAAUAUUUGUCUUUACUGUUUACUUUUGUCUUGUUAGAACCAAUCUUGAGUUGUACUGAAUAAAUAAAAUGUAUCAAGCUAACCCAUAAAUAAUGUGCUUGUGAUAUUUCAGGUUUCUGCUGCUGCUUUGGCUCAUGUGAUUUAUAGAAAUCCCGAUCUAAAAUGUUUGAAAGCAAGAGGCUGUAGGCAUUUGCUAGUAAAGGAAAGUAAGACGGAAGAGAGAAACUUGCCUGCUUUAUUGCGUACUCCAAAAGAGUGGUACUCUGAGCUUGGCAAGUCCUGCAAAUUGGACGAGAUUCAACUUGGAUGGGGUUUUUCAUCUCUUUAUAUGGAAGCACUUAAACCGGCAUUUAGAACAUUAAGAACGGUAGUUGUUGGUUUAGGUGGAUCCUUGGGCCAAGAUGGGCUGAAGCAGUUAUCAGAUAUCUGUCCUUUGAUUGAGACCAUGGUUCUAUAUUUUCAGGUAAUGAUUGUUUAGGAGAUAUAAUUAAUGUCAUCCGUAGCAAAUUAUCCGAUCAUCAUAAUUGAUGAGUGUUGAUUGCAAGCUUUGCAUAAAAUGUUCAAGAUUUAGGUUGUAUAUUUUCUCUUGACCAGCAAGAGUGAGACAACAGUGGAACUAAAACGGUAUAAGAAUAGAAAUAUUAUACUCAUAGGAACUAGGUCUUGGCAUUUUCUAGUUUGCUCAUUGGUACUCUCUCUCUCUCUCUCAUAAUUCUUUUAUCUCCCAGCAGCAAAAGGCAACUAUCAUUGAACAUCACUUAUCAGUUAAAACCUCUCACGUGAACCAUAUGUUUCUGAUGAAGUUGGAAGCUUUGGUGAUCUCCUGAUCACUAGAGUACAAUUUAUGGAGCUUUUUCGGUGAUCGUUUUUAGUUAUAUGAUAUACUAACUGAUGCUUGAAGCCAUGCACUAAUACAUUGUCUGAUGUUAACAGGUGAUAACUGAUUCUACUAUAAUGCAUGUUAUGAAAACCUUGUUGCAGUUGCAAGUCUUGGCUCUAUCCUAUUGCAUUGGUGAGAUUUCAUCAUUAAGCUUUAAGUUCUUGAUGCCGAAUCUGAAGAACCUGAAACUUGAAAGAGUAACACCAUGGAUGUCAAAUGAAGAUUUGGUUAAUCUGACACAGAAUUGCCCCAAGUUAGUCAAGCUUUCAUUGACAGGGUGCACAAUGCUUAAUUCAGGCGAGUAAUUUCUACCUGAUAACCAGUCUGUAGAAAUUUCAAUGACACUAAAUGCAAUUUUCAUGCAGUGUGACUCUAAUAAGAAUUCUUAUGCUCUGAGUUUCAUAAGCUGCUGUAUAAUCGAGAAUUAAUACUCGUAUAUCAUUUUUUAUUAUAUACAUGCAUCCUUUUGUCUGGGGAUGACUGAGUGAAGUGAUUUGAAUACUGGCUAAAAUAAUAAUAAAAACUUUUCCUUUCCCUUGUUAUGUUCUUUUCAGAAUCCCAAGAUAUUAUUUCAAGUGGUUGGCCAGGGUUGAUAUCCAUUCAUCUUGAGGUUUGCUGUCACCAUUUUCUCUUGGGAUGCCUUUUUAUUAUUUUUUUAAAAAGAUAUGUAGAUCUUACAUUUGCUACCAACUUUGCAAGAGGAGGAUAAAGACUGAAAUACUAUUAUCUGAUAGUAAAUUUGCUAUUACUUUUUUUGUUUUUGCAUACACCUAAGCAGAUGACCUAAACAAUAUUAACAGUUUUGUGUAACCCAAUUCCUGACUAAGGGCAGAUUUUCGACCCCUUUUUUUUUUUCCCUUAUUUUUGCAACCUCUUGCUACAUCUCUAAAAUUUUCUUCUAUACCUGUGAUUCACCCAAUUUUAUUGAGUGUAGAGGAUGGACAAAGUAGCAAUUAAAAAUUAAAACUUGUCUAAACUUGAGGGGCAUGUUGAAGACAACAUUAAAUGAUAUAAAUUGUGUCCUUAUCUAAUAGCUUAAGCAUUUAGAUCAAGCCGUUUAACAUGGUGUCACAUCAAGCAAAGGUCAGUCAAGUCUCGGCUCUGUCCAUUUAAAUGAAUUGUCCACAUGUUAAGUUUUGAUGGACGUGUUGUCGAUGGUAUUUGAAUGAUAUAAAUAUGCCCUAUCUAACAAUUUAAGCUAUUAGAUCAAGUGGUUCAACAAUAAUGAUUGCUGCUGUUAUUUUCCAAUUAGAUUCACCACCUUUCAUAAAGAGAAGUUUUCUAACCUCUUUCAAAAUUCCAAAAUGUGAAAGAAGAACUGUUUUAUAAGUUCAAAAUCAACAAAGAAUUUAAAGUUUUCUGAACAUGCAUGUGAGGGUCUUCAAUUACAAGAGAAGUUCACAGGGAGAGGUGGUCCAUAAUUUGAUCAAGAACGAACCAUUUUUGAUAUGUGCCAGUCCUCUUGCUAGUGAGCACUCAUGUACCAUUAAAGAUUAAGAAGCAAAAUGGAUCAAAGGAAAGAGGAGGUAACAAAGUUAAAAUCAUGAAGUUGGUAAGAAGCAAAAGGGAAGAAAUUACUGCCUGAAGUUGGCCUUGGGCCUUCUUUGAAUCUGAAUUAUAUAAUUCUUUUUUCAUUUAGGGAAUAGAAUCCUUCCUUGAAAGUCAUUUUGAGUUCCCCCAAAGGAUUUCUCCAGUUGUCAAUUACUAUAACUUGCACAAACAGCAAACAGGCAUUCUCUUUGUUGGCCACUAUAUACAUCUACAGGGUACUUUAUCCCCUGAAGUUGGCAUUUGGUAUGCAAGAGCAUAUGCACAGUAUAGGAAUGGACUUGUGAAAUGAAUGAAGAUGGGAAUGAAAUGCAAUAGACAUGGGAUAUCUCAUGUUUGGUUUGUCUAGGAAUAAGAACAGCAAUGGGAUCAGGUUCCACAUUUUUGAUUUCUUAUAUUUGGUCUGUUAUGAAGCAUGGUAAUGAAAUACAGAUUGUGAAAUGGCUAUGCAUACCUUACUGAAAUUUUAUAUUUUAAGCAUUAAUUCAUGUAAUUGGGAAAAUAAUGUCACAUGUCAGAAUUUGAAAACACGUUGCAUUCCAGAUUAUCUAGAUGCUUACGCUGGAUGGAAUGCCAUGAGCCUACUCGAUAUCUUCCUUGCCUGCUUCACUAGAGGGGGAAAAAAUAGGGAGAGGAAGAUAAAUAUUUUUGAAUCUUUCUUCUGUCAAUGGUUGAACCUUCUUGCCCAUGCUUCUACAAGAAGAAGAAGAGAAGCCUAAUCAGACACUAAACUACAGUUACCUUACUGAAGACUCAAAAGAAAAAAUUGAAGAUUAGAUUUUUGAGACAUCUGAAGAUCAAAUUUGCAGAUUCAAUGCUUAAUUCCAUGGUUCUUGAGUUCAUGCUCUCUCAUAUUUUAAUAAUAUCUUCUUGGUGGUUAUUUUACAUGUUCUUUCUAUUGAGAAUGUUUAUACGAGUGUAGUUCAUCUUCUAAGUUGCUUUCUCACUAUCAUAAAUUCAAUGUCUUUUAUGGAAUUUACACCAACAUUAAGGAGGAGGAGCCAAAUCGAUAGAAAUUAAAACCUGAAAUUGGGAAGAGAUGCAAAAGUUUGGCGGUGUUGAAAUUUGUUAAAAAACGGGGGUUCCAUUUUUGUGAAAGAGACCAUAAUUAUAAACCCCACCAAAAUGAGAGCAGUAUCUACGAUAUAGGAUGAAGUGAAUAUAAAUAUUAUUUCAUUCAUUUGAUUGAUGUAUUUCAUCAUCAGUUCUUAUCCUUUUCGGUAUCUUUGUAACAGCGCAUGUUAUUUGUUGUUUAGGACUGUGGAGAAGUAACAACCAAUGACGUUGUAUCUCUUCUGGACUGUCAUGCCCUUGAAGAUCUUAUGCUACGUCACACUGUGAGUCUUCAACACUGGUUUUUUCUCAUGUGGUGUGGCUUGUUUUAACUUUUGGAGGCUAGAUAAUUAACUUAAUUCUAAUUAGGGGUGGUUGCAAUCUGAUCCUAUUAUCCUUCAUUAUAGUUACCAACUGGUUCUCUGCAAAAGAUGAUGAAUUUGAACUUUCCCGUUUUUGCCUCCUUCGGUUUCUUUUUCUUUUUCCUUCAAACAAAAUGAAUAAUUGGACAGCAAAUGUACGACCCGAAGAAAUUACAAGACAAAAUACUUCAUGUUUCCUGUUUCCUGUCCUCCUAGUAUUAUGUGGCAUAUAUUAGGGAUGAACUUUUUGGUUGGUAUAACCUGAGAUCUCAAUCUAGGUAGCAUUCCUUUGACAAGGUACAUAAUGUUUGGAUUUAUAUAUUAGGCAAUCUUUAGUAUCGCAUAAUAGAUGAUAUAUAAGCACAAGAUUGUGAUGAAGACUACCAAUUGCUUGGACUUCGAUUCAGAGUAUGACAGAGAUAAUACAAAAUAUCCCUUUCUUUUCCUCUUCAACCCCUUAACUCCAACCCUAUCACACCCACAACACAGACAUCAAACUGCAAGGUAUAUACAUUAUACUAGUCCUAAUAAUAUAUCGGCACCUAAAAACACUGAACUGUUUUCAAUUUUGUGAAGUUCCAUUCAAUUAUUAUGAUCUCACUAGACAUUUCAUCAAACACUAAUUUCGAAUUCUUGGUCUACCUACAAAAUUCGAAGCUUUAUUUUUGUGAACUAGCAACUUGCUGAUUCUGGAGUGAAUUGUGCUUUAAAUAUUUAGGGCCCUGGAAUUACGAGAAAUUUCAUCAUUUAUGCUGCUUACAAGGUAAUUAUGGCUGCUCACAUGGAAUUACCGUAUUUGGACAUUGUUUUUUCUCAAAUUGUUUGAAGUUCCCCGUUUUAUUGUGUAUUUUUGGUGCCUGCAGUUACCAAUGCUUCGAAAAAUAUCACUUGAUAGAUGUGAUGCAAGGGAUGGAGACUUUGACAUUCCAAAUGUAAGAAAUCUUCUUGGCAUAUUAUAAUUUCACCCAUUACCAUUAUGUAGAUGCAAAGUGUUUGACAAACCUGUGAAACUUCACGUGAAAGGCGUUAUCAUUUCAUGGUGCAGUCAUUAUGUAUUUCAUUAUUUCCUUAAUAUAAUCCGGGGGUUUUUGAAGCUUAUAUUCUUGUAUCUUGUGGUUUGGGUAGAAUUGGAUUAGGAUAAAAAGUGAUUAGUUCUACGGUUAAUUAGGCUUUUUAGUAUUGCUAGUCUACAGAAGAAAUAUUAAUCCAUGUUGGACAACUAGAAUUGUUUUCAUUAAGCAACAAAAAUAACAUCACUAAUUGCAUUAACGUGUAAACUUCUUGUUUAUCCAGGUAUUUAUAGUGAAUGUUAUCUUACUGAUAUUACGGACCUGCUCCAGUGUGAUGACAGGUACUUCUUAAGUAGUGUGAAGAUUGCUAGAUGUAAGCUUCGACCCUGCACCUUUGACCUUCAUAAUCCGGAGGGCCGGAGAACCCCCGUGCAUAAAGAAACUUUAAUAUUGGAGUGGAACAGUGAAAAGCUCACAAGAAUUGUGGUGAAGGAAAGACUUUAAUUUCCACGCUUGAAAUCAGAUAUAACAUCUAUGGAAACACUGUGAAGCAUAUGGAAUGCACAAUGUGUUACUGUACAUUAUUUCGACUCCUGCACUCUAAAAGCAUGUUGGAUAUCACUUGGUCUGUAAUAGAUAAUGUUAAUUUAGGUCUUAUAGUAACAUGAAACUAUGUCAUGUUCAGUAAAUUUGAAAAAAAG
rnacentral:lncRNA from 1 species